AGUGGGCUACAAGUUUUGCA
rnacentral:misc_RNA from 1 species